AGUAAGUCUACUGUUGGCAUCUAAAAGCGUUGUGAUUAAUAUAAACCUCGGGCUUGCCCGGGGUUUU
rnacentral:misc_RNA from 5 species